GAAUCCACUAGUGAUUUCUGUUUGAUCCCGGCGGAGGCUACUGCUAUUGGGAUUCGAUUAAGCCAUGCAAGUUGAAUGAAUUUAGAUUCAUGGCGUACGGCUCAGUAACACGUGGAUAACUUACCCUUAGGACUGGGAUAACUCUGGGAAACUGGGGAUAAUACUGGAUAUUAGGCUAUGCCUGGAAUGGUUUGCCUUUGAAAUGUUUUUUCGCCUAAGGAUAGAUCUGCGGCUGAUUAGGUCGUUGGUGGGGUAAUGGCCCACCAAGCCGAUGAUCGGUACGGGUUGUGAGAGCAAGAGCCCGGAGAUGGAACCUGAGACAAGGUUCCAGACCCUACGGGGUGCAGCAGGCGCGAAACCUCCGCAAUGUACGAAAGUGCGACGGGGGGAUCCCAAGUGUCAUGCUUUUUUGUAUGACUUUUCAUUAGUGUAAAAAGCUUUUAGAAUAAGAGCUGGGGCAGACC
rnacentral:rRNA from 1 species